GAUGAACGCUGGCGGCGUGCUUAACACAUGCAAGUCGAACGGAAAGGCCCAAGCUUGCUUGGGUACUCGAGUGGCGAACGGGUGAGUAACACGUGGGUGAUCUGCCCUGCACUUCGGGAUAAGCCUGGGAAACUGGGUCUAAUACCGGAUAGGACGAUGGUUUGGAUGCCAUUGUGGAAAGUUUUUUCGGUGUGGGAUGAGCUCGCGGCCUAUCAGCUUGUUGGUGGGGGAAUGGCCUACCAAGGCGUCGACGGGGAGCCGGCCUGAGAGGGUGUACGGCCACAUUGGGACUGAGAGACGGCCCAGACUCCUACGGGAGGCAGCAGUGGGGAAUAUUGCACAAUGGGGGCAAGCCUGAGGCAGCGACGCCGCGUGGGGGAUGACGGCCUUCGGGUUGUAAACUCCGUUCGCUAGGGACGAAGCGUUUUUGUGACGGUACCUGGAGAAGAAGCACCGGCUAACUACGUG
rnacentral:rRNA from 1 species